AAAAGGUAGAUAAAGAAGUGGUCAGAAGACAUUUUAUCAACCUAAAUCACAGGUGAUUUUCAGUGGAGUCUUGGGAAAUAAAGUCUGGCACGAGUCAGCAGCCCCUGGAAGAGGAGUGGAGAUGAUUUUCCUCCUGGCAACUCCAGUCACCUUGGGAAUUUCCUCUGCUCUCAGCACUCAGCACUAGAUGGCAUCCAAGGUGGGGUGUGUGAUACAGAGAACAACAGCUUCUCAGCCACGAAGGUGCUGUCUGAGUCUGGAAAACGUGAGCAAGAAUGGGUCAAGAAAUAGGAAAAAACGUAUGGAGUGUUCAUAAAAGGACAAGGAGCUGCUGGAGUGAGUCCAGCCACAAAGAUCAUCUGAGGGCUGCAGAACCCUGGGAGAGCUGUGGGUGUCCAGCACAGAGAUGGCUCCAAACAGACCUUAAAACCCCUUCCAGUGCCUAAAGGGGAUCCAAGAGAGCUGGAGAGGGACCUGGGACAAGGACAUCGAGAGGACAAGGGGCAAUGGCUUCACACUGAAAGAAGGCAGGGACAUUUCUUCAGCCUUUGGAAAUUCAGUGUCCCAAGCAAAAUUAAACUGGCAGAGAAAACUGAAUCAAGAAGGGAAGUUUGUGCCCUCAGAGAGAAAAUGAAAAAGUUUUUUAACUGGAAAUGUGUGUGACAAGUGUAACAAGGCUUGACUAUUAAAAGGCUGUGU